UACGAAGGGGGCUAGCGUUGCUCGGAAUCACUGGGCGUAAAGGGUGCGUAGGCGGGUCUUUAAGUCAGGGGUGAAAUCCUGGAGCUCAACUCCAGAACUGCCUUUGAUACUGAAGAUCUUGAGUUCGGGAGAGGUGAGUGGAAUUCCGAGUGUAGAGGUGAAAUUCGUAGAUAUUCGCAAGAACACCAGUGGCGAAGGCGGCUCACUGGCCCGGUACUGACGCUGAGGUGCGAAAGCGUGGGGAGCAAACAGG
rnacentral:rRNA from 1 species